rnacentral:rRNA from 1 species
UACGUAGGGUGCAAGCGUUGUCCGGAAUUAUUGGGCGUAAAGAGCUCGUAGGCGGUCUGUCGCGUCUGCUGUGAAAAUCCAGGGCUCAACCCUGGACCUGCAGUGGGUACGGGCAGACUAGAGUGCGGUAGGGGAGAUCGGAAUUCCUGGUGUAGCGGUGAAAUGCGCAGAUAUCAGGAGGAACACCGGUGGCGAAGGCGGGACUCUGGGCCGAUACUGACGCUGAGGAGCGAAAGCGUGGGGAGCAAACAGG